CCUACUAAUACAGGCGGAUCAAAGACACUCACUGCUUUCAAUCUCUCAUUACAAGUUGAAAAAUCAGAUAUUGAGGAAUUCUUCAAAGAAGCUGGCCAAGUUGUUGACGUCAGAUUUGGUAGGACAAACGAUGGUGAUGACAGAUUCCUUGGCUUUGGCGUGGUUGAGUUUGCAACUGCCGGAGAAGCACUGAAGGCACUGGAAUUUCACGGUAGACCUUUGCUCGGUUGUCAAAUCCGUCUUGAGGCUUCUCAUGCGAGGGGACAAAGACCUGCAUACACUCCACAAAGUAGACAAAGGAGCGGUGUUUGUCUUCCUAAGGAAGAUAUCAAGAGCUCAUUGCUCAAGAGGGUUUCUGUUCCCACUGACCAUGAAACCGGAGCUUCCAAAAGGGUGUGUGACUCAUUGCACUUUGUUACCAGUUUGUGAAUUUGCAGAUGCUAACUAAAUUUUGUUUUUACAGCAUAGAGAAUGCGUUUGAACA